rnacentral:rRNA from 1 species
GAUGAACGCUGGCGGCGUGCCUAAUACAUGCAAGUCGAGCGAACGGACGAGAAGCUUGCUUCUCUGCUGUUAGCGGCGGACGGGUGAGUAACACGUGGAUAACCUACCUAUAAGACUGGGAUAACUUCGGGAAACCGUAGCUAAUACUGGAUAAUAUUUUGAACCGCAUGGUUCAAAAGUGAAAGACGGCCUUGCUGUCACUUAUAGAUGGAUCCGCGCUGCAUUAGCUAGUUGGUAAGGUAACGGCUUACCAAGGCAACGAUGCAUAGCCGACCUGAGAGGGUGAUCGGCCACACUGGAACUGGGACACGGUCCAGACUCCUACGGGAGGCAGCAGUAGGGAAUCUUCCGCAAUGGGCGAAAGCCUGACGGAGCAACGCCGCGUGAGUGAUGAAGGUCUUCGGAUCGUAAAACUCUGUUAUUAGGGAAGAACAUAUGUGUAAGUAACUGUGCACAUCUUGACGGUACCUAAUCAGAAAGCCACGGCUAACUACGUG